AACUGAAGAAGGCAGAAUCCAGAAGGUUGUGCACGUUAUAUUUCUGUUUGUUAAUCAACAAUAUCUAUAUAGACAAUAUCUAGAUAGGGACCGAACAACAGACCCCAGAGGGACAUGAUGACAUCCUCCCGCCUUUUUUGGCCCACUUUCCUCCUUGGAAGUAGUCUUAUGAGAUCAGCUUGCUGUCCAUGUGUGUCUCUAGUCCAUAAGAACAGCCCUACUAGAUCCGGCACAAGGCCCAUGUGGACCAGCAUCCUGUUUGACACAGUGGCCCACCAGAUGCCUCUGAGGAGCCCACAGGCAAGAGAUUCUAUACGGCCCUUACAAAAAUGGCUCAGGGCGGUUUCCAGAGAAAUAAACAGAUAAGAUGGAUCUCUGUCGCCAAAGGGCUCACAUUCAAAAAAGAAAUCCAGCUCUCCCAGCAACACCCUGCAACAUUGUCCCAUCCCCCAAUACUUUAAUCCUGGGAGUGGAGACCGGAGAUGAUUGAUGGCUCACCUUAUCUCAAUAGCCCAUCCCAGACAUGCCCAUUCUUAUGUAAAGCUCAGUAAGUAAUGUAAAGUGUGCCGUCAGGUCGAUUUCGACUCCUGGCACCCAGAGAGCCCUGUGGUUGUCUUUGGUAGAAUAUGGUAAGGGUUUUCCGUUGCCUCCCCCCACGCAGUAUGAGAUGAUGCCUUUCAGCAUCUUCCUAUAUCGCUGCUGCCUUAUACAGUGCCAGCGGGGAUUCGAACCGGCAACCUUCUGCUGGUUAGUCAAGCAUUUCCCUGCUGCAUCACUUAAGGUGACAUUACACUAACCUUAACCCUAACCGGCUCCCCUUUCCCGCCCUCCACUCACCCUCUACGAAUGGCCGCUGCCCUCAUGGCACUCUUUCCAUCCGAAUCGACUUCUGGCGGUCAUCCAAUCUGUACCAAUAGGUCGACUGUGAGGGGUACGGCAGGGCCUGUCCCCUCAUGGAGGAUAGAUGGCCGUGCCUGUUUGCCUGGUUAGAGGGCCUGAUGCACACGCUGCCUGAGGCAGGACCUAGCUCAUUGACGUCCAUGGCAGUCGGGGACCGGGUGGCGGAAGCUAGCUCUCCGCCGCCAAAGGGGCUGCACAGACGAUCGAAACUGGACUGAGGAAGAGCGGUGAGGAUGGAACGACUAAGGCCACACUUGAACCCAAGCCCUACCCCUGCAUCCCAAUGCUAAAUCUCACUCCAAGCCUCACGUUCAACUCAGGGGGCCCUUUCUAAACCUCAUCCAGCUUCCCAGAACCCUCCUUAGUUAGGAUCAGCUACAAUUCAUUAGCAAGGAGCCUGCCUGGCCUGGACACGGGAUCCCGGCAAUGAACAACACACUCACCAUAACUGGACCCCAACAUCAGUUGUGCUGAGUGCGGAGGGUAUCGGGGAGGGAGUCUCCUUCACUGUGCUCAAGACUUUUUCAGGUGGCUGCAGUGGAGUGUUCAGAAGCGGAGGAUGCAGGCCUCUUCUGGACCGCGGAAGUUUUUUCUUUUCCUGAGAGAACAGCCUCUUGUUGUUCUCUCAGGUUUUGCUUUUAGCCUUGUGGGACUGUACACACCAAAAAAGCAAAAGACACUGGCUGCUGUUGCUCCUGGUUUCUGGGACAGGCUUUGGAAAUUGGAAUCCCUGCGGUGUCCAUGCUAGCUUGCUUGCUUGCUCCCAGGCAGCUGGCCUGUCCUUCUCCACUUCAGAGAUCUGCUGCCUACGUGCCUGUCAGUUGAAGGGACCAGCCAGUGUUCUCUGGAGCAGAGGUUCCCCGAUAUUGUGGACUACAGAUCCCAUCAACCUCAGCUGCAAUGGCCUCUGGUAUCUAUACCGCCCUUCCAAAAAUGGCUCAGGGCGGUUUAAACAGGGAAAUAAGGAAAUAAGACGGAUCUCUGUCACCAAAGGGCUCACAUUCUAAAGAGAAACCCAGCUCAGCUCAAGCUCUGCUGCCUACGUGCCUGUCAGUUGAAGGGGGCCAGCCAGUGUUCUCUGGUGCAGAGGUUCCCCGAUAUUGUGGACUACAGAUCCCAUCAACCUCAGCUGCAAUGGCCUUUGGCUGAGGAGGAUGGGCCCACAGGCAAGAGGUAUGUGCAUGCCCUCUCUCCAGGCUUUUGUACGUCAUUCCUCUCAGUUUUUGCCAGUGAAGUGGUAGUUAGAAGUGCACCACUGGAAAUCUUUCCGUGCUAAAACAUUGUUCUCCAGUAUCUGCAACACAUCCCACUGCUUUGGAUUUCCAGCUAGAGUGUUAGGGGGCCAUUCCAGGCUGUUGCCCGUGGUUCUCCUUCUCCAGCCUAUCAUGGGCAGUGAAGUGGCUAUUAGAAGUACAAGAAUGGAAACACUUCAGUGCCGAAAGACUGUUCUUUGGUAUCCGCAGCACUUCCCACUGUUUUGGGCUUGCAGUUUGAUUUGGGGGUCCCUUCUGGUGUUCCAGGGUCCAUUUUUGACAAUGAAGGGUACACUAUGUUUGACAAAAGUACACUAUUGGAAAUAUUUCUGUGCUGAAAUAUUGUCCUCUAACGUCUCCAGCACAUCCCUCUGUUUUGGGGAUGCAGUGUGACAGUUGGUGGGCGGAGUUUCAGACUGCUUUUCAUCACAAAGGAAUUGUGAUGCAUUCCUGCCUAGCAUUCUGGUUAAGAUAUGUGUUGAUCCCAUUGCUCAGAUGGGCCUUGGGCCUGAUCCAACAGGGAUGGGGAGCCAGCCACGCUCCUCAGCAAUGCUCCCCGAGCAACACCCUGCAACAUUUCCCCUUCCCCCAAUACUUUAAUCUUGGGGGCGGAGACCGGAGAUGAUUGAUGGCUCACCUUAUCUCAUUAGUCCAUCGCAGAUGUAGUAGUAGUAGUAGUAGUAGUAGUAGUAGUAGUUAUUUCAGUUUCUAUACCGCCCUUCCAAAAAUGGCUCAGGGCGGUUUACACAGAGAAAUAAACAAAUAAGAUGGAUCUCUGUUGCCAAAGGGCUCACAUAUUAAAAAGAAACCCUGCUCAUCUAGGUAAGAAAAGUAAAGUGUGCCGUCAAGACGAUUUUGACUCCUGGCACCCACAGAGACCUGUGGUUCUCUUUGGCAGACUACGGGAAGGGUUUUCCGUUGCCUCCCCCCACGCCGUAUGAGAUGAUGCCUUUCAGCAUCUUCCUAUAUCGUUGCUGCCAGAUACAUUGCCAGUGGGGAUUCGAACCGGCAACCUUCUGCUGGUUAGAUAAGCACUUCCCUGAUGCACCACUUCAGGUGACAGUACCCAAAUGGCUCCCCUUUCCCGCCCUCCACUCAGCCUCUUCGAAUGGCCCGCUUCCCGCAUGGCACUCUUUCCAUCCGAAUCGACUUCUGGCGGCCAUCCAAUCUGUACCAAUAGGUCGACUGUGAGGGGUACGGCAGGGCCUGUCCCCUCAUGGAGGAUAGAUGGCCGUGCCUGUUUGCCUGGUUAGAGGGCCUGAUGCACACGCUGCCUGAGGCAGGACCUAGCUCAUUGACGUCCAUGGCAGUCGGGGACCGGGUGGCGGAAGCUAGCUCUCCGCCGCCAAAGGGGCUGCACAGACGAUCGAAACUGGACUGAGGAAGAGCGAUGAUGAUGGAACGACUAAGAGCACACUUGAACCCCAGUCCUACCCCUGCAUCCCAAUGCUAAAUCUCACUCCAAGCCUCACGUUCAACUCAGGGGCCCCUUUGUAUAUCUCAUCCAGCUUCCCAGAACCCUCCUUAGUUGGGAUCAGCUGCAGUUCAUUAGCAAGGAGCCUGCCUGGCCUGGACACGGGAUCCCGGCAAUGAACAACACACUCACCCUAAUUGGACCCCAACAUCAGUUGUGCUGAGUGCGGAGGGCAUCGGGGAGGGAGUCUCCUUUACUGUGCUUUGCCUUUUUCAGGUGGCUGCAGUGGAGUGUUCAGAAGCGGAGGACGCAGGCCUCUUCUGGACUCUGGAAGGUUUUUCUUUCCCUGAGAGAACAGCCUCUUGUUGUUCUCUCAGGUUUUGCUUUUCUCCUUGUGGGACUGUACACACACAAAAAAGCAAAAGACACUGGCGGCUGGUGCUCCUGGUUUCUGGGACAGGCUUUGGAAAGUCGAAUCCCUGCGGUGUCCAUGCUAGCUUGCUUGCUUGCUUGCUCCCAGGCAGCUGGCCUGUCCUUCUUCUCCUCUUCAGAGCUCUGCUGCCUACGUGCCUGUCAGUUGAAGGGGGCCAGCCAGUGUUCUCUGGUGCAGAGGUUCCCCGAUAUUGUGGACUACAGAUCCCAUCAACCUCAGCUGCAAUGGCCUCUGGGUGAGUAUGAUGGGCCCACAGGCAAGAGGUAUGUGCAUGCCCUCUCUCCAGGCUUUUGUACGUCAUUCCUCUCAGUUUUUGCCAGUGCGGUGGUAGUUAGAAGUGCACCACUUGAAAUCUUUCCAUGCUGAAACGUUGUUCUCCAAUGUCUCCAACACAUCCCACCGCUUUGGAUUUCCAGUUGGAGAGUUAGGGGGCCAUUCCAGGCUGUUGCCAGUGGUUCUCCUUCUCCAGCCUAUUAUGGGCAGUGAAGUGGCUAAUAGAAGUACAGGAAAUGAAACAUUUCAGUGCUGAAAGACUGUUCUUUGGUAUCCGCAGCACAUUCCACAGUUUGGGGCUUGCAGUUUGAGUUGGGGGUCCCUUCUGUUGUUCCAGGGUCCAUUUUUGACAAUGAAGGGAACACUAAUUUGGACUAUUGGAAAUAUUUCUGUGCUGAAAUAUUGUCCUGCAGCGUCUCCAGCACAUCCCUCUGUUUUGGGGAUGCAGUGUGACAGUUGGUGGGAGAAGUUUCAGACUGCCUUUCAUCACAAAGGAAUUGUGAUGCAUUCCUGCCUAGCAUUCUGGUUAAGAUAUGUGUUGCUCCCAUUGCUCAGAUGGGCCGUGGGCCUGAUCCAAUAGGGAUGGGGAGCCAGCCACGCUCCCUAGCAAUGCUCCCCCAGCAACACCCUGCAACAUUGGCCCAUCCCCCAAUACUUUAAUCCUGGGGGCGGAGACCGGAGAUGAUUGAUGGCUCACCUUAUCUCAUUAGCCCAUCCCAGAUUUACCCAUUCUUACGUUCAGCUCAGUAAGGAAAGGAAAGUGUGCCGUCUGGUCGAUUUCGACUCCUGGCACCCACAGAGCCCUGUGGCUGUCUUUGGUAGAAUACGGGAAGGGUUUUCCGUUGCCUCCCCCCACGCAGUAUGAGAUGAUGCCUUUCAGCAUCUUCCUACAUCGCUGAUGCCUGAUACAGUGCCAGCGGGGAUUCGAACCGGCAACCUUCUGCUGGUUAGUCAAGCAUUUCCCUGCUGCAUCACUUAAGGUGACAGUACCCAAACGGCUCCCCUUUCCCGCCCUCCACUCAGCCUCUUCGAAUGGCCCGCUUCCCGCAUGGCACUCUUUCCAUCCGAAUCGACUUCUGGCGGCCAUCCAAUCUGUACCAAUAGGUCGACUGUGAGGGGUACGGCAGGGCCUGUCCCCUCAUGGAGGAUAGAUGGCCGUGCCUGUUUGCCUGGUUAGAGGGCCUGAUGCACACGCUGCCUGAGGCAGGACCUAGCUCAUUGACGUCCAUGGCAGUCGGGGACCGGGUGGCGGAAGCUAGCUCUCCGCCGCCAAAGGGGCUGCACAGACGAUCGAAACUGGACUGAGGAAGAGCGAUGAGGAUGGAACGACUAAGAGCACACUUGAACCCCAGUCCUACCCCUGCAUCCCAAUGCUAAAUCUCACUCCAAGCCUCACGUUCAACUCAGGGGCCCCUUUCUAAAUCUCAUCCAGCUUCCCAGAACCCUCCUUAGUUAGGAUCAGCUGCAGUUCAUUAGCAAGGAGCCUGCCUGGCCUGGACACGGGAUCCCGGCAAUGAACAACACACUCACCCUAAUUGGACCCCAACAUCAGUUGUGCUGAGUGCGGAGGGCAUCGGGGAGGGAGUCUCCUUUACUGUGCUUUGCCUUUUUCAGGUGGCUGCAGUGGAGUGUUCAGAAGCGGAGGACGCAGGCCUCUUCUGGACUCUGGAAGGUUUUUCUUUCCCUGAGAGAACAGCCUCUUGUUGUUCUCUCAGGUUUUGCUUUUCUCCUUGUGGGACUGUACACACACAAAAAAGCAAAAGACACUGGCGGCUGGUGCUCCUGGUUUCUGGGACAGGCUUUGGAAAAUCGAAUCCCUGCGGUGUCCAUGCUAGCUUGCUUGCUUGCUUGCUCCCAGGCAGCUGGCCUGUCCUUCUUCUCCUCUUCAGAGCUCUGCUGCCUACGUGCCUGUCAGUUGAAGGGGGCCAGCCAGUGUUCUCUGGUGCAGAGGUUCCCCGAUAUUGUGGACUACAGAUCCCAUCAACCUCAGCUGCAAUGGCCUCUGGGUGAGUAUGAUGGGCCCACAGGCAAGAGGUAUGUGCAUGCCCUCUCUCCAGGCUUUUGUACGUCAUUCCUCUCAGUUUUUGCCAGUGAGGUGGUAGUUAGAAGUGCACCACUUGAAAUCUUUCCAUGCUGAAACGUUGUUCUCCAAUGUCUCCAACACAUCCCACUGCUUUGGAUUUCCAGUUGGAGAGUUAGGGGGCCAUUCCAGGCUGUUGCCAGUGGUUCUCCUUCUCCAGCCUAUUAUGGGCAGUGAAGUGGCUAAUAGAAGUACAGGAAAUGAAACAUUUCAGUGCUGAAAGACUGUUCUUUGGUAUCCGCAGCACAUUCCACAGUUUGGGGCUUGCAGUUUGAGUUGGGGGUCCCUUCUGUUGUUCCAGGGUCCAUUUUUGACAAUGAAGGGAACACUAAUUUGGACUAUUGGAAAUAUUUCUGUGCUGAAAUAUUGUCCUGCAGCGUCUCCAGCACAUCCCUCUGUUUUGGGGAUGCAGUGUGACAGUUGGUGGGAGAAGUUUCAGACUGCCUUUCAUCACAAAGGAAUUGUGAUGCAUUCCUGCCUAGCAUUCUGGUUAAGAUAUGUGUUGCUCCCACUGCUCAGAUGGGCCGUGGGCCUGAUCCAAUAGGGAUGGGGAGCCAGCCACGCUCCCUAGCAAUGCUCCCCCAGCAACACCCUGCAACAUUGGCCCAUCCCCCAAUACUUUAAUCCUGGGGGCGGAGACCGGAGAUGAUUGAUGGCUCACCUUAUCUCAUUAGCCCAUCCCAGAUUUACCCAUUCUUACGUUCAGCUCAGUAAGGAAAGGAAAGUGUGCCGUCUGGUCGAUUUCGACUCCUGGCACCCACAGAGCCCUGUGGCUGUCUUUGGUAGAAUACGGGAAGGGUUUUCCGUUGCCUCCCCCCACGCAGUAUGAGAUGAUGCCUUUCAGCAUCUUCCUACAUCGCUGAUGCCUGAUACAGUGCCAGCGGGGAUUCGAACCGGCAACCUUCUGCUGGUUAGUCAAGCAUUUCCCUGCUGCAUCACUUAAGGUGACAGUACCCAAACGGCUCCCCUUUCCCGCCCUCCACUCAGCCUCUUCGAAUGGCCCGCUUCCCGCAUGGCACUCUUUCCAUCCAAAUCGACUUCUGGCGGCCAUCCAAUCUGUACCAAUAGGUCGACUGUGAGGGGUACGGCAGGGCCUGUCCCCUCAUGGAGGAUAGAUGGCCGUGCCUGUUUGCCUGGUUAGAGGGCCUGAUGCACACGCUGCCUGAGGCAGGACCUAGCUCAUUGACGUCCAUGGCAGUCGGGGACCGGGUGGCGGAAGCUAGCUCUCCGCCGCCAAAGGGGCUGCACAGACGAUCGAAACUGGACUGAGGAAGAGCGAUGAGGAUGGAACGACUAAGAGCACACUUGAACCCCAGUCCUACCCCUGCAUCCCAAUGCUAAAUCUCACUCCAAGCCUCACGUUCAACUCAGGGGCCCCUUUCUAAAUCUCAUCCAGCUUCCCAGAACCCUCCUUAGUUAGGAUCAGCUGCAGUUCAUUAGCAAGGAGCCUGCCUGGCCUGGACACGGGAUCCCGGCAAUGAACAACACACUCACCCUAAUUGGACCCCAACAUCAGUUGUGCUGAGUGCGGAGGGCAUCGGGGAGGGAGUCUCCUUUACUGUGCUUUGCCUUUUUCAGGUGGCUGCAGUGGAGUGUUCAGAAGCGGAGGACGCAGGCCUCUUCUGGACUCUGGAAGGUUUUUCUUUCCCUGAGAGAACAGCCUCUUGUUGUUCUCUCAGGUUUUGCUUUUCUCCUUGUGGGACUGUACACACACAAAAAAGCAAAAGACACUGGCGGCUGGUGCUCCUGGUUUCUGGGACAGGCUUUGGAAAAUCGAAUCCCUGCGGUGUCCAUGCUAGCUUGCUUGCUUGCUUGCUCCCAGGCAGCUGGCCUGUCCUUCUUCUCCUCUUCAGAGCUCUGCUGCCUACGUGCCUGUCAGUUGAAGGGGGCCAGCCAGUGUUCUCUGGUGCAGAGGUUCCCCGAUAUUGUGGACUACAGAUCCCAUCAACCUCAGCUGCAAUGGCCUCUGGGUGAGUAUGAUGGGCCCACAGGCAAGAGGUAUGUGCAUGCCCUCUCUCCAGGCUUUUGUACGUCAUUCCUCUCAGUUUUUGCCAGUGAGGUGGUAGUUAGAAGUGCACCACUUGAAAUCUUUCCAUGCUGAAACGUUGUUCUCCAAUGUCUCCAACACAUCCCACUGCUUUGGAUUUCCAGUUGGAGAGUUAGGGGGCCAUUCCAGGCUAUUGCCAGUGGUUCUCCUUCUCCAGCCUAUUAUGGGCAGUGAAGUGGCUAAUAGAAGUACAGGAAAUGAAACAUUUCAGUGCUGAAAGACUGUUCUUUGGUAUCCGCAGCACAUUCCACAGUUUGGGGCUUGCAGUUUGAGUUGGGGGUCCCUUCUGUUGUUCCAGGGUCCAUUUUUGACAAUGAAGGGAACACUAAUUUGGACUAUUGGAAAUAUUUCUGUGCUGAAAUAUUGUCCUCUAACGUCUCCAGCACAUCCCUCUGUUUUGGGGAUGCAGUGUGACAGUUGGUGGGAGAAGUUUCAGACUGCCUUUCAUCACAAAGGAAUUGUGAUGCAUUCCUGCCUAGCAUUCUGGUUAAGAUAUGUGUUGCUCCCAUUGCUCAGAUGGGCCGUGGGCCUGAUCCAAUAGGGAUGGGGAGCCAGCCACGCUCCCUAGCAAUGCUCCCCCAGCAACACCCUGCAACAUUGGCCCAUCCCCCAAUACUUUAAUCCUGGGGGCGGAGACCGGAGAUGAUUGAUGGCUCACCUUAUCUCAUUAGCCCAUCCCAGACAUGCCCAUUCUUAUGUAAAGCUCAGUAAGUAAUGUAAAGUGUGCCGUCAGGUCGAUUUCGACUCCUGGCACCCAGAGAGCCCUGUGGUUGUCUUUGGUAGAAUAUGGUAAGGGUUUUCCGUUGCCUCCCCCCACGCAGUAUGAGAUGAUGCCUUUCAGCAUCUUCCUAUAUCGCUGCUGCCUGAUACAGUGCCAGCGGGGAUUCGAACCGGCAACCUUCUGCUGGUUAGUCAAGCAUUUCCCUGCUGCAUCACUUAAGGUGACAUUACACUAACCUUAACCCUAACCGGCUCCCCUUUCCCGCCCUCCACUCAUCCUCUUCGAAUGGCCCGCUUCCCUCAUGGCACUCUUUCCAUCCGAAUCGACUUCUGGUGGCCAUCCAAUCUGUACCAAUAGGUCGACUGUGAGGGGUACGGCAGGGCCUGUCCCCUCACGGAGGAUAGAUGGCUGUGCCUGUUUGCCUGGUUAGAGGGCCUGAUGCACACGCUGCCUGAGGCAGGACCUAGCUCAUUGACGUCCAUGGCAGUCGGGGACCGGGUGGCGGAAGCUAGCUCUCCGCCGCCAAAGGGGCUGCACAGACGAUCGAAACUGGACUGAGGAAGAGCGAUGAGGAUGGAAUGACUAAGGCCACACUUGAACCCCAGUCCUACCCCUGCAUCCCAAUGCUAAAUCUCACUCCAAGCCUCGGGUUCAACUCAGGGGGCCCUUUCUAAAUCUCAUCCAGCUUCCCAGAACCCUCCUUAGUUAGGAUCAGCUACAAUUCAUUAGCAAGGAGCCUGCCUGGCCUGGACACGGGAUCCCGGCAAUGAACAACACACUCACCCUAAUUGGACCCCAACAUCAGUUGUGCUGAUUGCGGAGGGUAUCGGGGAGGGAGUCUCCUUCACUGUGCUCAAGACUUUUUCAGGUGGCUGCAGUGGAGUGGUCAGAAGCGGAGGACGCAGGCCUCUUCUGGACUCUGGAAGGUUUUUCUUUUCCUGAGAGAACAGCCUCUUGUUGUUCUCUCAGGUUUUGCUUUUAGCCUUGUGGGACUGUACACACCAAAAAAGCAAAAGACACUGGCUGCUGUUGAUCCUGGUUUCUGGGACAGGCGUCAGAAAUUGGAAUCCCUGCGGUGUCCAUGCUAGCUUGCUUGCUUGCUCCCAGGCAGCUGGCCUGUCCUUCUCCACUUCAGAGAUCUGCUGCCUACGUGCCUGUCAGGUGAAGGGGGCCAGCCAGUGUUCUCUGGAGCAGAGGUUCCCCGAUAUUGUGGACUACAGAUCCCAUCAACCUCAGCUGCAAUGGCCUUUGGCUGAGGAGGAUGGGCCCACAGGCAAGAGGUAAGUGCAUGCCCUCUCUCCGGGCUGUUGUACGUGAUUCCACUCUGUUUUUGCAAGUGAAGUGGUAGUUAGAAGUGCACCACUGGAAAUCUUUCCAUGCUAAAACAUUGUUCUCCAGUAUCUGCAACACAUCCCACUGCUUUGGAUUUCCAGUUGGAGAGUUAGGGGGCCAUUCCAGGCUGUUGCUGGUGGUUCUCCUUCUCCAGCCUAUUAUGGGCAGUGAAGUGGCUAAUAGAAGUACAAGAAUGGAAACAUUUCAGUGCUGAAAGACUGUUCUUUGGUAUCCGCAGAACAUCCCAGUUUGGGGCUUUCAAUUUGAGUUGGGGGUCCCUUCUGGAGUUCCAGGGUCCAUUUUUGACAAUGAAGGGUACACUAUUUUUGACAAAAGUACACUAUUGGAAAUAUUUCUGUGCUGAAAUAUUGUCCUCCAGCGUCUCCAGCACAUCCCUCUGUUUUGGGGAUGCAGUGUGACAGUUGGUGGGCGGAGUUUCAGACUGCAUUUCAUCAUAAAGGAAUUGUGAUGCAUUCCUGCCUAGCAUUCUGGUUAAGAUAUGUGUUGCUCCCAUUGCUCAGAUGGGCCUUGGGCCUGAUCCGACAGGGAUGGGGAGCCAGCCACCCUCCCCAGCAAUGCUCCCCCAGCAACACCCAGCAACAUUGCCCCAUCCCCUAUAUUUUAAUCCUGGGGGCGGAGACCGGAGAUGAUUGAUGGCUCUCCUUAGCUCAGUAGCCCAUCCCAGAUGAUGUUGUUAUUAUUAUUAUUAUUAUUAUUUCAGUAUCUAUACCGCCCUUGCAAAAAUGGCUCAGGGCGGUUUACACAGGGAAAUAAGGAAAUAAGAUGGAUCUCUGUCACCAAAGGGCUCACAUUCUAAAAAGAAACCCAGCUCAGCUCAGUAAGUAAAGUAAAGUGUGCCGUCAAGUCGAUUUCUACUCCUGGCACCCACAGAGCCCUGUGGUUCUCUUUGGUAGAAUACGGGAAGGGUUUUCCAUUGCCUCCCCCCACGCAGUAUGAGAUGUUGCCUUUCAGCAUCUUCCUAUAUCGCUGCUGCCCGAUACAGUGCUAGCGGGGAUUCGAACCGGCAACCUUCUGCUGGUUAGUCAAGCAUUUCCAUGCAGCACCACUUAAGCUGACAGUACCCUGACCUUAACCCUAACCGGCUCCCCUGUCCCGCCCUCCACUCAGCCUCUUCGAAUGGCCCGCUUCCCUCAUGGCACUCUUUCCAUCCAAAUCGACUUCUGGCGGUCAUCCAAUCUGUACCAAUAGGUCGACUGUGAGGGGUACGGCAGGGCCUGUCCCCUCAUGGAGGAUAGAUGGCCGUGCCUGUUUGCCUGGUUAGAGGGCCUGAUGCACACGCUGCCUGAGGCAGGACCUAGCUCAUUGACGUCCAUGGCAGUCGGGGACCGGGUGGCGGAAGCUAGCUCUCCACCACCAAAGGGGCUGCACAGACGAUCGAAACUGGACUGAGGAAGAGAGAUGAGGAUGGAAAGACUAAGGCCACACUUGAACCCCAGCCCUACCCCUGCAUUCCGAUGCUAAAUCUCACUCCAAGCCUCAGGUUCAACUCAGGGGCCCCUUUCUAAAUCUCAUCCAGCUUCCCAGAACCCUCCUUAGUUAGGAUCAGCUGCAGUUCAUUAGCAGGGAGUGUGCCUGGCCUGGACUCAGGAUCUGGGCUCACAACAACACACUCGAAUUGGACCCCAACAUCAGUUGUGCUGAGUGCGGAGGGCAUCGGGGAGGUAGUCUCCUUCACUGUGCUUAGCCUUUUUCAGGUGGCUGCAGUGGAGUGUUCAGAAGUGGAGGACUCGGGCCUCUUCUGUGCUCCAGAAGGUUUUUCUUUUCCUGAGAGAACAGCCUCUUGUUGUUCUCUCAGGUUUUGUUUUCGUCUUGCGGGACUGCACACACACAAAAAAGCAAAAGACACUGGCGACCGGAGCUCCGGGUUUUUGGGACAGGCGUCGGAAAUUGGAAUCCCUGCAGUGUCCAUGCUAGCUUGCUUGCUUGCUCCCAGGCAGCUGGCCUGUCCUCCUUCUCCUCUUCAGAGCUCUGCAGCCUACGUGCUUGUCAGUUGAAUGGGGCCAGCCAGUGUUCUCUGGUGCAGAGGUUCCCCGAUAUUGUGGACUACAGAUCCCAUCAACCUCUGCUGCAAUGGCCUUUGGCUGAAGAUGAUGGGCCCACAGGCAAGAGGUAUAUGCAUGCCCUCUCUCCAGGCUUUUGCACGUCAUUCCUCUCUGUUUUUGCCAGUGAAGUGGUUGUUAGAAGUGCACCACUCAAAAUCUUUCCGUACUGAAACAUUGUUCUCCAAUGUCUGCAAUACAUGCCACUGCUUUGGAUUUCCAGCUGGAGAGUUAGGGGGCCAUUCCAGGCUAUUGCCAGUGGUUCUCCUUCUCCAGCCUAUUAUGGGCAGUGAAGUGGCUAAUAGAAGUACAAGAAUGGAAACAUUUCAGUGCUGAAAGACUGUUCUUUGGUAUCCGCAGCACAUCCCAUAGUUUGGGGCUUGCAGUUUGAGUUAGAGGGUCCCUUCUGGUGUUCCAGGGUCCAUUUUUGACAAUGAAGGGUACACUAUUUUUGACAAAAGUACACUAUUGGAAAUAUUUCUGUGCUGAAAUAUUGUCCUCCAACGUCUCCAGCACAUCCCUCUUUUUUGGGGGGAUGUAGUGUGACAGUUGGUGGGCGGAGUUUCAGACUGCUUUUCAUCAUAAAGGAAUUGUGAUGCAUUCCUGCCUAGCAUUCUGGUUAAGAUAUGUGUUGAUCCCAUUGCUCAGAUGGGCCUUGGGCCUGAUCCAACAGGGAUGGAAAACCAACCACGCUCCCCAGCAAUGCUCCCCCAGCAACACCCUGCAACAAUUCCCCAUCCCUCAAUACUUUAAUCCUGGGGCCGGAGACCGGAAAUGAUUGAUGGCUCACCUUAUCUCAUUAGCCCAUCCCAGAUGUUGUUGUUGUUGUUAUUGUUGUUGUUGUUAUUAUUAUUAUUAUUAUUAUUAUUAUUAUUAUUAUUAUUAUUAUUUCAUUUUCUAUACCGCACUUCCAAAAAUGGCUCGGAGAGGUUUACACAGAGAAAUAAACAAGAUAGAUCUCUGUCACCAAAGGGCUCACAUUGUAAAAAGAAACCCAGCUCAGCUCAGUAAGUAAAGUGUGCUGUCAAGUCAAUUUCUACUCCUGGCACCCACAGAGCCCUGUGGUUGUCUUUGGUAGAAUACAGGAAGGGUUUUCCGUUGCCUCCCCCCACGCAGUAUGAAAUGCUGCCUUUCAGCAUCUUCCUAUAUCGCUGCUGCCCAAUACAGUGCCAGCGGGGAUUCGAACCGGCAACCUUCUGCUGGUUAGUCAAGCAUUUCCCUGAUGCACCACUUCAGGUGACACUACUCUGACCUUAACCCUAACCGGCUCCCCUGUCCCGCCCUCCACUCAGCCUCUUCGAAUGGCCCGCUUCCCUCAUGGCACUCUUUCCAUCCGAAUCGACUUCUGGCGGCCAUCCAAUCUGUACCAAUAGGUCGACUGUGAGGGGUACGGCAGGGCCUGUCCCCUCAUGGAGGAUAGAUGGCCGUGCCUGUUUGCCUGGUUAGAGGGCCUGAUGCACACGCUGCCUGAGGCAGGACCUAGCUCAUUGACGUCCAUGGCAGUCGGGGACCGGGUGGCGGAAGCUAGCUCUCCGCCACCAAAGGCGCUGCAGAGACGAUCGAAACUGGACUGAGGAAGAGCGAUGACGAUGGAACGACUAAGGCCACACUUGAACCCCAGCCCUACCCCUGCAUCCCAAUGCUAAAUCUCACUCCAAGCCUCAGGUUGAACUCAGGUGCCCCUUUCUAAAUUUCAUCCAGCUUCCCAGAACCCUCCUUAGUUAGGAGCAGCUGCAGUUCAUUAGCAGGGAGCCUGGCUGGCCUGGACACGGGAUCCCGGCUCUGAACAACACACUCACUCUAAUUGGACCCCAACUUCACUAGUGCUGAGUGCGGAGGGCAUCAGGGAGGGAGUCUCCUUCACUGUGCUUAGCCCUUUCCAGGUGGCUGCAGUGGAGUGGUCAGAAGCAAGCGGAGGACGCAGGCCUCUUCUGGACUCUGGAAGGUUUUUCUUUUCCUGAGAGAACAGCCUCUUGUUGUUCUCUCGGGUUUUGCUUUCCGCCUUGUGGGACUGCACAAACACACAAAAGCAAAAGACACUGGUGGUUGGCACUCCUGGUUUCUGGGACAGGCUUUGGAAAUUCAAAUCCCUGCGUUGUCCAUGCUAGCUUGCUUGCUUGCUCCCAGUCAGCUGGCCUGUCCUCCUUCUCCUCUUCAGAGCUCUGCUGCCUACGUGCCUGUCAGGUGAAAGGAGCCAGCCAGUGUUCUCUGGAGAAGAGGUUCCUUGAUUUUGUGGAGUACAGAUCGCAUCAACCUCAGCCGCAAUGGCCUUUGGCUGAGAUGAUUGGAGUUGCAGUCAACAACAUCUGGGAAUCCCUGUGUGACAGGGAACACUGCUGAAGGCUCUUUCUUUGCUGGGCUUUCCGGGAACCAAUUGCCAUCAGCGGUAAUCAUGUGGUGGCUGGACAGAACCGCCGAUCUCGGAGGGACCGUCUGCACAGGAAACUGCUCCAGCAUCCCUGACAUCUUCCUGAACCAGGAAACAUGAGGGUCGGGAACUGGCUUCCCCGUGGCUUUUAAUCCCCAACAGCAUCACUAUGCCACAAGGACUCUUUUGUGGAGCACCGCUGGCGUGGGGGUGUUGUGUUUGCUCCCACUUGUCCCUGGCCAUCCAUUAGCAGCCAUGACACGUGUCCCCCACACACACAAUGCUGUGUGACUCUGGUGUAGCAACAUGAAGCCAGUUCCAGAGCAGUGAGGGCAUGGUGGGGGCAUCUAUGCUCCACUGAUCAUCCAGACUUCCCCCUUCUUCCAGGGAGAAGAGACCACUGACUGUGGAGUCUGCUAGUUUAACUGGAGGGGGAUGAAGUGCUGUGCUCCAGGUACAGUCCCAAGUGGGCACUCGUGGUGGCCUGAGGCUGCGGUGGAGCUUAUGGCAUUGAUGGGCAAGAAUCCAAUGGCUGCUGCAUGGUCUGCACCAGCUGCUGUCCCAGUUCCAACCCAUGGAGAAAACUGCUCCCAGAAGCUUGGACCAAAAACCAGUCGCUGCUCAGGCUAUUCAAGAGAGCACCUCCUUUGUCGUGAACCCUGCUGCCUGUUACGAUCUUCUGGAAUGGUCCCUCUACUGUUGCCACCAGCUUUUUUGGUGAUGGCCCAGGACCGGGCUUUCUCUGUGGCUGCCCCAGGGAUUUGGAAUAUGCUCCCUGCUGAAAUAAGAGCAUCUCCUUCUUUGUUUGUUUUCAGGAAGACCCUCAAGACGCUCCUGUUCUCGCAAGCUUUUUAUUAUAAUUAAUUUUAAUAAUUUUAAUAAUUUGUUUUAAUGAUGAUUCUUUUUAUUGUGU